GGACAAGUGAAUAAGUGCACAUGGUGGAUGCCUUGGCGAUUACAGGCGAUGAAGGACGUAGUAGCUUGCGAUAAGCUGCGGGGAGUGAGCAAACACACUUUGAUCCGCAGAUUUCCGAAUGGGGAAACCCGGCCCUUUGGGUCAUCGUUAUCUGAAUACAUAGGGUAACGAAGCGAACGCGGCGAACUGAAACAUCUAAGUAGCUGCAGGAAAAGAAAUCAACCGAGAUUCCCAAAGUAGUGGCGAGCGAAAUGGGAUGAGCCUUGUACG
rnacentral:rRNA from 1 species